rnacentral:lncRNA from 1 species
UUUGAAUUGCUCCUUGAUUGCUCUUUCUUAUUUUAUUAUUCAAAUGGAUUACUUCUGCAUAGUUUUCGAAUGAAUAAAAAAAAAUCGAAAAGGGGAUUUUCGCAAGGCGGACUGUGGUCGAAUUCAUCUUGAUUUCUCUCUGAGAUUCCGAGAAAACUGGAAAGACGACACCAACUCGUUCCACAGCGGAGUUUCGAAGAGCGGUUAAUUCGAACUCGUAUCGGUGUCAAGAAAAUGAUACUUUGGUCCAACUUAAAUAUGCUCGUGAUUGUUCCUUGGUUAUGCAGACGGGCGGCCGAUUCGAUUUGUAUCCAGAAUAAGAAGAUGUCGACUCGGUCCAAGAGGUACAAUUGCUACUGAUUGCUCCUCGAUAUCCCAUCAAUCAUCUACCAGUUUCCUCAUUUGCUCCUUUACAGAUUACACGCGAUUGAUUACACCAUACAAAAAAAAAAAAUAGUGGUCCGUACAUUUGAUCAGACCCAUUUAGGAUUAUGUAUUUCGAUGCGCUGAAUCCGAAUCUGAAGUUUUUGGAUCCGUACACCUUCCAAAUUUGAGUAAAUUGCGAAAUAAUGUUAAAAAUAGCACAAACUCGUAAAAAAUAGCCAUGAAAUAGCAGAAAAUAUUAAAAAAUAGUAUUGUUCUCACCCAGAGCAAUAAACUAAACAUGGGUACUUAUAUUAUAUAGAUUGUAAUUAAAAUGUCAAAAAAAACGACCUUCAUUGAUUUUACACUGUUCUUCGAUUGUAUCGAACUCUUUUGAAUUUUUUUUUGAAUUUCUCUAAAACAGCGUAGGAGCAAAUAAUGAAAAAUAGAUCGCAAUUAAGAGAUUUUCGUGAGCAAUUUUUUUGGUAUCCAGUUUGUGAAGAAAUUCACAGGCCAGCUUCGCAUAGGUACGGGCAAUAUGGCGUGUGAGAACUAUCGAUAC